rnacentral:rRNA from 1 species
GUCCACGCCCUAACGAUGCUAACUCGAUGUUGGGAAUUAUUUGAGCAUCCAAGCGAAGCGUUAAGUUAGCCACCUGGGGAGUACGUUCGCAAGAAUGAACUCAAAGGAAUUGACGGGACCCGCACAAGCGGUGGAUGAUGUGGAUUAAUUCGAUGCAACGCGAAACCUUACCUACCCUUGACAUGUCCAGAACUCCGAUGAAAGUUGGGGUGCCCCGAAAGGGAAUUGGAACACAGGUGCUGCAUGGCUGUCGU